rnacentral:rRNA from 1 species
UACAGAGGUGGCAAGCGUUGUUCGGAAUUACUGGGCGUAAAGGGCGCGUAGGUGGUCUUGUAAGUCUUGUGUGAAAUCCCUUGGCUCAACCGAGGAACUGCACGGGAAACUGCCUGACUUGAGUUCGGGAGAGGGACGUGGAAUUCCGGGUGUAGCGGUGAAAUGCGUAGAUAUCCGGAGGAACACCGGUGGCGAAGGCGGCGUCCUGGACCGACACUGACACUGAGGCGCGAAAGCUAGGGGAGCAAACGGG